rnacentral:rRNA from 1 species
UUAGAGGCAAACGGGUGGACCCGCAAUACGUCGACCCGGGGGAUUCAACCAGGCCGUGCGUUCGGGACGCGUGGGGGUUAUGCGGAGCUGUAAAGCCCGUGCCUCUGCGUGGGUCUCCGGGCGGACUGGUGCACUUUCCUCGGGUUGAUUGCCACGACCGGCUCUCCGCGCGGCCAUAAGCCUGUUGCUGGUAAGGUGACCGUCGGCCCCGCGCCGGCGGUGUUAUAGACCAGCUUGUUCGUUGCGCUCGUCGGAGGGCCGAGGAAGUUGCCGUUUCUCAGCACCCUCUGGCCAUCCUUGCUCGUCACGACUGGGGUGAACUGCUUCGUCAGUGCUCUCCCGACCGCGAGCGUAGGAAGGGCUGGUACGGUGCGAGGAUGCUUCGGGCCAGUGGCGAAUCGGUCGGUCCUCCACCCGACCCGUCUUGAA